UACGUAGGGGGCAAGCGUUGUCCGGAAUCAUUGGGCGUAAAGCGCGCGUAGGCGGCCCGGUAAGUCCGUUGUGAAAGUCAAAGGCUCAACCUUUGAACGCCGAUGGAUACUGCCGGGCUAGAGUCCGGAAGAGGCGAGUGGAAUUCCUGGUGUAGCGGUGGAAUGCGCAGAUAUCAGGAGGAACACCAAUAGCGAAGGCAGCUCGCUGGGACGGUACUGACGCUAAGGCGCGAAAGCGUGGGGAGCGAACAGG
rnacentral:rRNA from 1 species